AGGAGGCUUCUCUCAUGUCCCCGCAUGGAGCUGGAGCUGAUAGAAGGAGCUCAUCUGCAUUCUCCCCAGGUUGGAUUUGAACCAUCACCCUUCAGCUGUUAUGGUUCUGGCAAAAGGAAAACAACCACAAACCACAAGCAAACUGAUACCUACAAUGAUGCUCUGAGCAACAGGGAUUUCCCACUUGUUAGUUCUUGAAUGAAAUCUUGAAGUGAUAAAAGGUGUAGAGCAGAAGCAGUCAGGGAAAGCUACAUGCAAGUAAAAGCCACAUGCCAUUUGGCCUUUUGUUGUGAUUGCAAAGGCCUGGAAGCCAAAAUGCUGGAAGUUUUGAAAUUGUGCUCAUGCAAUAAACAUUUAUAUAUUUUAACCAUGGGUAUGUUUAUAUGAAGCAACUUCUGUAAGAUCCUGUGAUGACUCAUGGGCCAUGUAGUCCCGUUCCCAGUACUAUUGUGGCAGAUGAAGAGGAAAACUUGGGUUUCCCACCGUUUCAGCCAGAAUUGGAGCCCUUGCACCUGCAAGAUGUUUGCCCACCAGAAGUCAGCCAAACAAGCCUUGAGCAGAAAUCUCCCCCAUUUUCUCGCCGGGAUUAUUAUAAUCGAGAUAGAGGCGCUCGGGAGGUGACUCGCAGGAGCGCCAGGAUAGCUGCCAGACAAUUAGCUGAUUAAGUCUGUUUCCCUUGGGAAACUUUAAGGAGUCAUGCAUCUGGACACAGUAUGGGUUUCGUUUCUUGUUCCCCAGGGAAAGUGUUCCUUGGCGGGAAAACAAGAUCCUAUAUAGGUGUUUGCCCGCAAAGAAAUCCUUGCGGAGUCAAUUCGUCACCUUGUGGAGUGAGAUCGUGUGUGGACUACGCUACUCCAGUCCCUUGCCUCCAGGACCAAGUUCCAAGCCUUGUUUCACGGACCUUGUUCUAGCAUCAAGCUUUCCUUGUUCCACGGACCUCGCCACGGACCCUGUUCUUGCUUAUUGUCUUUUGUAGCCACGUAUCAAGCCUUGUUGCCAAGAAUCUAGUUUGCUUCCAGCCUUGUUGUCAAGCUUCAUUGGACUAAAGGACCCUGUCAUUUCCCCACACUUUGCCUGGCAAAGUGUGUGUUUCGGUUAUUGGAUUAUAACUUUGGACUCUAAUAUCACAUAUUGGACAUUGUUUUCCUGGACUAUAUUUGACCUUUCCUGAAAGGUCUACUUCUGAACUAUAUUCUUCACUUGUUUUUAUUGACUUUAUAUAUUCCUUUAAUAAAGAUAUUAGAUAGAUUCUGGUCUCCGUGCAUGGUUAU